UUUUGAAUUGGCGCAAUCUUCAUCAGGCCUGGAAGACUUACGUUUCUGUCUCGAGCCUAAACAAAAGCGAGACCAAUAAUUUAAGUGUCCCUUGGAAAGAGUUCCAUGAACUUUCAGACGAAUAUCUUCCGAUCAAUGUUGAAGGAACCAAAUUUGACCAUUUGAAGAUAAAAGGAUCCAACUAUUAGCAGCAAUUAUACAAAUUGAUUGCUGACAAACAACUUAAAAAUUUGUACCCAAAAGAGAAUGACAUU
rnacentral:lncRNA from 1 species